GCCUUCUCCUCCCAAGAUCCUUCAACGCCAGCUGCAGAUUACGAGCGCCGAGGCUCUCUUCCUGCUGCCUUGCCGAGGAGGCGGCGGCGAGGAGAAGAGGAGAAACCUGAUCUCGGCGCUGACUUAGUAAACACCAUGGCAGGGAGGGAGCUUUGCCAAUCAAGCUCACCCAGACACCGCAGCAGCAGCAGCAGCCCCCCGCCCUCGAGCGCGGCCAACUCCGCGCCCUUCCACGCCGCUAGGCUGGAUGGGAGAAGUUCACGUUGAUUUCCACACACGCUGCUGGGAGAUCUGCGGCCCUCCGGAUGCCACUCCAAGAAUGGCUCCUUCUCCGGCACGCAAAUUUGAGCCGAGUGUAUAUUGGCGAUCCGACCGGUGGGCGCUCGAUGUAACCUAAACUGAUGUUUCGAGGGUCACGUGAUUCAACUUUGUCUUUUCUCUCCCCCCACCCCGCCAUUAUUUUUGUAGCAGCCAAUCACAUUCCCGGCACAACCCAGCCAAAUAGGCUUCGUUGGAACGUUGGUAAAGCUUACAUUCCAAAUCGGAAUGCUGGAACAAGGUUGCCAGUAGUGUGAUUGGUUGUAAGAAGUACAUUGGAGGACCGUAGGGUUCUGCCGAGGGCCGUAGAGCGCGCUCUACCUUCUUCCAGUACUCAUUCAGCAUCGAGUUAAAUUUCCUAUAACUUCGUGUCCCAGUUUAACAGCAAAGGUUUGUUUUUAGAUUAGGGAAGGACGUAGUACUUCCUCGGGCAUCACUUAAACAAAGUGCUGGACUUUAAAACUGCAGUUCUAAGCAAGCAGACUGAGAAAUAGUUUCCAUUGUUCAGAAUAAACAUGGGUAAGUUUGAUCUGCAA